UUUGAUUUUGAAUAAUCACGGUUGAUGUUCCUUAUUUUUGAAUCGAUUUUACUUAAGUUUUGGUUACAAAAUAGGUACAAAUCAGAUAUUUUAAAACUGAAGAACCGAUUUUACUCAUGUUUUGGUUAUAAAAUAGGUAAAAAUCAGGUACUUUUAAACCGAAAAACCGAUUGGGACCCGAAUCCGAAAGUAUAUUGGGUUGUACCGGUUCUUUGAAGAUUCACUAACCCCGAUCCGAACCCGAUAGAACCCGAACCGGUCCCGAACCGAACUUUCAUAUAAUCCGAAUGGGCCUGAUUUUGAUGAACCCGAAAAACCGAAACCCGAUUGGAUAAAACCGAAACCCGAUUGGGACCCCGAAUGCCCAGGCCUAG
rnacentral:lncRNA from 1 species